CGAUCACAUAACGUUGAAACACGGGUUCCCGUACGAUCACCGAAGUUAAGCAACAUCGAGUCGGGAGAGUAACCAGAUGGAAGACCACUUGAGAAUACCAGGUGUUA